UGGCCGCUGGUAGCGUUGGUCGAUUUGGUCGCUCUCUCAAUUCGCUUCUGGUGUGGACGUACAGGAAUUUAGUGACCAGGAAUGGCGAGAACAUUUUAGGAUGAGUCGGCAGUCGUUCGUGAAUGCGAGCUCAUGGAGAAUAUAUCGCCGGAGGAGGUAACUGUACGAAGAGCAAUACCGUUGCCAAUGAGGGUUGCCAUGGUACUGUACAAGUUAGGCAGAAGCGCCGAAUAUAGGCUGAUCGCUAUUCAGUUCGGGUUGCAUAAAAGUACCGUUAAAAAGUUUGGUUAUAUGAUCUGCAAAAGUAUGGUGCAAGGACCUAAAGACCUCAUAAGGGUACCAACGGAGGAGGAGGCCCUAUACAUCGCAUCCAGAUUCAAGGCCAGCUACCACUUGCCAAAUGUGAUGGGCAUCAUUGAUGGCACACACAUCCCCAUGUUGCCCCCUUCAGAUGGGUACAAGACUUUGUCAACCGAAAAGGCUGGCCGUCCUAUGUGCUCCAGGCAGUUGUCGACGAUUUUGCUUUAAGAUGCCCGGUAGCGCACACGACGCCAGUGUUCCCCGUAACUCGGAUCUCUUCCAAAAAGCCCAUCUACUGCCUAAGGGUGAUAAAAUCAUCGAGGGAGAGAGCAUCAGGCUAGUCGUUGUUGGGGAUCCUGCAUAUCCGCUCCUUCCGUGGCUGGUUAAAGGACAUCUCAGCUCCCCACUACUAUCUCCAGAGCAGGAAUCUUUCAAUGUUUAUCCAAGUUCGUUCCGGGUUGGGGUGGAAAAUACCUUUGGAAUUCUAAAGGCAAGAUGGCGUGUUCUGUUGAAACGUAGUGACUUCCAAUUCACAUUCACACCGACUGUCAUAGCUGCUGUGCUUUGCACAAUUUUUGCCAGCUUCAGAGGGAACACGUAAACCGGUUGGAAGAGGCUGCAACUCUAGACGGAAUCUAUCCUCAGCCUGCCAGCAAAUAUUAAUGAACAUGGUGACCACGAAAGGGCCGUGGUUACAGGAUAUAUGGCCACUCACUUUCCCCUUCGCAGGGGUCAUCUCUAUUCAUUUAAACACGUAUGGUUAAGGGAACAUAAUGGUGGAACAAAUAUUUAAUAAAUAACAACAAUAUUUUCA